CGAGUCUUAACUGGGCGAAUAAGUUGCAGGGUAUAGACCCGAAACCCGGUGAUCUAGCCAUGGGCAGGUUGAAGGUUGGGUAACACUAACUGGAGGACCGAACCGACUAAUGUUGAAAAAUUAGCGGAUGACUUGUGGCUGGGGGUGAAAGGCCAAUCAAACCGGGAGAUAGCUGGUUCUCCCCGAAAGCUAUUUAGGUAGCGCCUCGUGAACUCAUCUUCGGGGGUAGAGCACUGUUUCGACUAGGGGGUCAUCCCGACUUACCAACUCGAUGCAAACUACGAAUACCGAAGAAUGUUAUCACGGGAGACACACGGCGGGUGCUAACGUUCGUCGUGAAGAGGGAAACAACCCAGACCGCCAGCUAAGGUCCCAAAGUCAUAGUUAAGUGGGAAACGAAGUGGGAAGGCUCAGACAGCCAGGAUGUUGGCUUAGAAGCAGCCAUCAUUUAAAGAAAGCGUAAUAGCUCACUGGUCGAGUCGGCCUGCGCGGAAGAUGUAACGGGGCUAAACUAUGCA
rnacentral:rRNA from 1 species